rnacentral:rRNA from 1 species
CCUACGGGAGGCAGCAGUGAGGAAUAUUGGUCAAUGGACGAGAGUCUGAACCAGCCAAGUAGCGUGAAGGAUGACUGCCCUAUGGGUUGUAAACUUCUUUUAUAUGGGAAUAAAAUGUUCCACGUGUGGGAGUUUGUAUGUACCAUAUGAAUAAGGAUCGGCUAACUCCGUGCCAGCAGCCGCGGUAAUCCGGAGGAUCCGAGCGUUAUCCGGAUUUAUUGGGUUUAAAGGGAGCGUAGGUGGACUGUUAAGUCAGUUGUGAAAGUUUGGGGCUCAACCGUAAAAUUGCAGUUGAAACUGGCAGUCUUGAGUACAGUAGAGGUGGGCGGAAUUCGUGGUGUAGCGGUGAAAUGCUUAGAUAUCACGAAGAACUCCGAUUGCGAAGGCAGCUCACUGGACUGCAACUGACACUGAGGCUCGAAAGUGUGGGUAUCAAACAGGAUUAGAUACCCUUGUAGUC